GGUGAACGCUGGCGGCGUGCCUAAUACAUGCAAGUCGAGCGAACAGACGAGGAGCUUGCUCCUCUGACGUUAGCGGCGGACGGGUGAGUAACACGUGGAUAACCUACCUAUAAGACUGGGAUAACUUCGGGAAACCGGCGCUAAUACCGGAUAAUAUAUUUAACCGCAUGGUUCAAUAGUGAAAGACGGUUUUGCUGUCACUUAUAGAUGGAUCCGCGCCGCAUUAGCUAGUUGGUAAGGUAACGGCUUACCAAGGCGACGAUGCGUAGCCGACCUGAGAGGGUGAUCGGCCACACUGGAACUGAGACACGGUCCAGACUCCUACGGGAGGCAGCAGUAGGGAAUCUUCCGCAAUGGGCGAAAGCCUGACGGAGCAACGCCGCGUGAGUGAUGAAGGUCUUCGGAUCGUAAAACUCUGUUAUUAGGGAAGAACAAAUGUGUAAGUAACUAUGCACGUCUUGACGGUACCUAAUCAGAAAGCCACGGCUAACUACGUG
rnacentral:rRNA from 1 species